rnacentral:rRNA from 1 species
GCCAAGCCAUAAAAAAUCAACUCACACCCACAGCGCCAGAGUAUUACGAGCUCCAGCUUAAAACUCAAAGGACUUGACGGUAUCCUAACCAACUAGAGGAGCCUGUUCUAUAAUCGAUAAUCCACGAUAUACCUAACCACUUCUUGCUUAUCAGCCUGUAUACCUCCGUCGCAAGCUUACCAUUUGAAUGCGCUAGUAAUGCUUAAGGACCUUAACGCCAAAACGUCAGGUCAAGGUGCAGCUCACGAAGUGGGAGCAAUGAGCUACAAUUUCUAGCAUAGAACAAACAAAACAUUACAUGAAACAUAAUCACAAGGUGGAUCUAGCAGUAAGUAAGAAGUAGCGAGCCUUACUAAACCCGGCCAUAGGAUGUGU